rnacentral:snRNA from 1 species
GGGUGUGAGGGUGCUCCAGUGACAACACCUUACCCCCUGAUGGCCAGGGCCAACUGCUGAUCCACUGGCUAGGAGGAUGUCCCCGUCCUCCCUCCUGCUGUGUGUGCCCCUCCAGAAGCUCACAAGAUAGGUAGAUGAGGACGACCCCCUCCAACAGCAGAGGGCUGUUUUCUCAGUGCAGUAGAAGAGCAGCUGCGCUCCCCUGCAAGAACCUCUGAGCAAGUGCUCAAGGAAUAGUGAAGUGAGAAGGAAGAAAGGAACCUGAGACUCGAAUCUGUUUACAGGAAAUAUACCACAACUUUGUUCAAUAGUUUUUU